GUAACCGGGCCUUCGACUUUGCUCAUGUUAGGACGAGGUUCUCCUCCUGUCCCUAAUGCGGCUGUAGGGGCACAUAUGGGCACUGCUGGGCCCUUCCCCCCAUCCGGUCUAGGUGUAACCGGACCUUCGACUUUGCUCAUGUUAGGACGAGGUUCUCCUCCUGUUCCUAACAUGGCUGUGGGGGCACAUAUGGGCGUUGCAGGGCCUCUCCCCUCAUCCGGUCUAAAGAAAAUCGGGCCUUCGACUUUGCUCAUGUUAGGAUGAGGUUCUCCUCCUGUUUCGAACAUGGCUGUGGGGGCACAUAUGGGCGUUGCAGGGCCUCUCCCCCCAUCCGAU
rnacentral:lncRNA from 1 species